GGCCCUAUCGUCUAACGGUUAGGACACAUCCUUUUCAAGGAUGGAAUCGGGGUUCGAUUCCCCGUGGGGCUGCCA
rnacentral:tRNA from 3 species